CCCUUAGAUGUUCUGGGCCGCACGCGCGCUACACUGAUGCAUUCAACGAGCCUAUCCUUGACCGACAGGUCCGGGUAAUCUUUGAUUCUGCAUCGUGACGGGGAUAGAUUAUUGCAAUUAUUAAUCUUCAACGAGGAAUGCCUAGUAGGCGCAAGUCAUCGGCUUGCGUCGAUUACGUCCCUGCCCUUUGUACACACCGCCCGUCGCACCUACCGAUUGAAUGGUCCGGUGAAAUCUUCGGAUUGAGACUUUGAUUUGUUUACUCAAAACGCUGUUUCAAGAAGUUGAUUAAACCUUACCAUUUAGAGGAAGGUGAAGUCGUAACA
rnacentral:rRNA from 1 species